rnacentral:rRNA from 3 species
UCGAUCUCAAAUCAAG